rnacentral:rRNA from 1 species
AGUGAACGCUGGCGGUAGGCCUAACACAUGCAAGUCGAACGGCAGCACAGUAAGAGCUUGCUCUUACGGGUGGCGAGUGGCGGACGGGUGAGGAAUACAUCGGAAUCUACUUUUUCGUGGGGGAAAACGUAGGGAAACUUACGCUAAUACCGCAUACGACCUACGGGUGAAAGCAGGGGAUCUUCGGACCUUGCGCGAUUGAUUGAGCCGAUGUCGGAUUAGCUAGUUGGCGGGGUAAAGGCCCACCAAGGCGACGAUCCGUAGCUGGUCUGAGAGGAUGAUCAGCCACACUGGAACUGAGACACGGUCCAGACUCCUACGGGAGGCAGCAGUGGGGAAUAUUGGACAAUGGGCGCAAGCCUGAUCCAGCCAUACCGCGUGGGUGAAGAAGGCCUUCGGGUUGUAAAGCCCUUUUGUUGGGAAAGAAAAGCAGCAGGUUAAUACCCCGCUGUUCUGACGGUACCCAAAGAAUAAGCACCGGCUAACUUCGUG